GGAAAGGACAUCAACCGAGACUCCGUUAGUAGUGGCGAGCGAACGCGGACCAGGCCAGUGGCCUCUUUGUAAGAACGGGAAGGAUAUGGAAAUAUCCGCCAUAGUGGGUGAUAGCCCCGUACCGGUAGAAAGCAUUGAGGUCCUCGAGUAAGGCGGAACACGUGAAAUUCUGUCUGAACAUGGGUAGACCACUAUCCAAGCCUAAGUACUCGUGCACGACCGAUAGCGAACAAGUACCGUGAGGGAAAGGUGAAAA
rnacentral:rRNA from 1 species